CAUCUGUCUGCCCGGGGCAGGGCGGCUGGUCAAGGAAAACCAAAAGCAGCCAGGGGUGGGCCCACGCCACAGGCCAGGCCCCAUGCCAAGUGUGCUGGCCACCAUUCCCUCCCGUCUCCUCACUGUGGACCAGCAUGGAAUAGCGUCACCCUGGUCAGCAGCAGAGGCUCAGAAAGGAAAAGGGAUCUGCCUGAAGCUACUCAGCCAAACAGAGCCAGGUCUGUAACUCAAGGCCCACCCUUCCUGGAAGAAGUCCCAUGGACACACCUGCUAUUGCCUUCAGACAGGCCUGGAUAACUCCUGUCCCCAAUCCAGAGUGCAGGGGCCAGCCUGUUCUCUCCAGUGGCACUGUUUUCCCCGAUAGGGUUUCACCAUGUUGGCUAGGCUGGUCUCAAACUCCUGGCCUCAAGAAAUCGGCCCACCUCAGCCUCCCAAAGUGCUAGGAUUACAGGCGUGAGCCACUGCACCCAGCCUCUAGCACCAUUUAUUAAAAAGAAUAUUCUUUUCCUCAUUGAAUCGACUUGGCACUCUUGUCAAAAUAAAUUAACUAUACAGU